CCUACGGGAGGCAGCAGUGAGGAAUAUUGGUCAAUGGGCGCGAGCCUGAACCAGCCAAGUAGCGUGAAGGAUGACUGCCCUACGGGUUGUAAACUUCUUUUAUAAAGGAAUAAAGUGAGGCACGUGUGCCUCUUUGUAUGUACUUUAUGAAUAAGGAUCGGCUAACUCCGUGCCAGCAGCCGCGGUAAUACGGAGGGUCCGAGCGUUAUCCGGAUUUAUUGGGUUUAAAGGGAGCGUAGAUGGGGUGUUAAGUCAGUUGUGAAAGUUUGCGGCUCAACCGGAAAAUUGCAAUUGAUACUGGCAGCCUUGAGUACAGUAGAGGUAGGCGGAAUUCGUGGUGUAGCGGUGAAAUGCUUAGAUAUCACGAAGAACUCCGAUUGCGAAGGCAGCCUACUAAACUGCCACUGACAUUGAGGCUCGAAAGUGUGGGUAUCAAACAGGAUUAGAUACCCGGGUAGUC
rnacentral:rRNA from 1 species